AUGGUGAGUUUAGGGUUCUUUAUUUCCCGCCUUUUUGUUUUUCAGAUUUAACACCUGCAGCUCAAUAAUGGUUACUGGAACUACACAGACUGUCAAUAACAGUUUAACAGAACAUGACCAGCACUGCUCAGUUGAGGCUACCUCUUCUUCACUAUGCUGUGAAAUCUUAAAUCAUCUGCAGAGAUGAUAUACCCCUCCAGUUGACCAAAAUACACUCACAGUGAACAUAAAGGCAUCAUAGAGGAUUGUGAAGACAUUUCACAGGAACUUGUACUUCAUGGCUUGUACAUUUUUUUUUUAUUUAUUUUUUUUUUUUACUUCUUUAUGUAUUUAUUCAUGUUCAGUGUCGUUUGUAAUGUAUUAAUGUGUUCAGCUAAUAACUCUUAUUCAAGAACUCUCCUUUAUUAAACAAGUAUACAUCAAAAUAAAAAAUAAAGUUAUUCAA